GACGAACGCUGGCGGCGUGCCUAAUACAUGCAAGUAGAACGCUGAAGAGAGGAGCUUGCUCUUCUUGGAUGAGUUGCGAACGGGUGAGUAACGCGUAGGUAACCUGCCUUGUAGCGGGGGAUAACUAUUGGAAACGAUAGCUAAUACCGCAUAACAAUGGAUGACACAUGUCAUUUAUUUGAAAGGGGCAAUUGCUCCACUACAAGAUGGACCUGCGUUGUAUUAGCUAGUAGGUGAGGUAAUGGCUCACCUAGGCGACGAUACAUAGCCGACCUGAGAGGGUGAUCGGCCACACUGGGACUGGGACACGGCCCAGACUCCUACGGGAGGCAGCAGGAGGGAAUCUUCGGCAAUGGGGGCAAACCUGACCGAGCAACGCCGCGUGAGUGAAGAAGGUUUUCGGAUCGUAAAGCUCUGUUGUAAGUCAAGAACGGGUGUGAGAGUGGAAAGUUCACACUGUGACGGUAGCUUACCAGAAAGGGACGGCUAACUACGUG
rnacentral:rRNA from 1 species